ACGCGUGAUGCGGGAGAGACCGUCGGCGACAAGCCGGCGGCGCCGAAGGAGCAACCGCCCCGGAAACUCUCAGGCAAAAGGACCGCGCGCGUAUU
rnacentral:ncRNA from 2 species